rnacentral:rRNA from 1 species
GAUGAACGCUAGCUACAGGCUUAACACAUGCAAGUCGAGGGGGCAGCGGGAUUGAAGCUUGCUUCAAUUGCCGGCGACCGGCGCACGGGUGAGUAACGCGUAUCCAACCUUCCGUACACUCAGGGAUAGCCUUUCGAAAGGAAGAUUAAUACAAGAUGGCAUCAUGAGUCCGCAUGUUCACAUGAUUAAAGGUAUUCCGGUAGACGAUGGGGAUGCGUUCCAUUAGAUAGUAGGCGGGGUAACGGCCCACCUAGUCUUCGAUGGAUAGGGGUUCUGAGAGGAAGGUCCCCCACAUUGGAACUGAGACACGGUCCAAACUCCUACGGGAGGCAGCAGUGAGGAAUAUUGGUCAAUGGGC